rnacentral:rRNA from 1 species
GAUGAACGCUGGCGGCGUGCCUAACACAUGCAAGUCGAGCGGGAAUCGACGGACAGAAGCUUCGGCAGACGGAAGUUGAGGAGAGCGGCGGACGGGUGAGUAACGCGUAGGUAACCUACCUUAUGCACAGGGAUAGCCCCGGGAAACUGGAAUUAAUACCUGAUGAAGCGGUGAAGUCACAUGGCUUUAUCGCCAAAGAUUUAUCGGCAUAAGAUGGACCUGCGUCUGAUUAGCUAGUUGGCGGGGUAACGGCCCACCAAAGCGACGAUCAGUAGCCGGUCUGAGAGGAUGAACGGCCACAUUGGGACUGAGACACGGCCCAGACUCC